GCCGCUUCUUCAUGGUUAUCGAUUGUCCAACCGAGUCGAGAUUGUAAUGGAGGCAAACAAAAAGCGUAUGGCUUGCGAGAUUAUGGAGUUUUUUGAACGUCUUCUUCGCGAGGAAUGGGUCAGAAAUCCAUUUCCAUUGCAAAUUGCUCAUUCCCACGGCACGGGGUGAUUGAAAACGGCCGGGGUUAUACUCAAGAAAAUGGGACUUUCAUAGUUUUCAUAGCAAUCUGCGAGCGGUGAUCAAUAGGCGCUCCCCUCGUAAUGGGUUUUGCUCUGCAGUCACUGCAAGGGGGCAUUUCAGCGCACGCAUCGCCAUCAGCAGCGGCACCGGGACACCAGAGAACAGGGACGCAAAAGACCGUUUACCGCCAUCCGCCCAUCUGCCACUGUUUCGCCCGGCCGCAGUGCUGACUUUGUGUUUGGUCUGUGUCACAUAGACAUCUGAUGGAUGGUCACAUCGCCGAUCACAUGCAGACAUUUCCUGAGUGAGGCUGAAGGGAAUCCGCGCACAUCUUUCUUUAAGAACUGGGAUUUUGCUGGGAAACGGGCAAGCGCACGUGCACCCCCGGUGGGCAAAGCUGCAGGUGAGGUGGGACUCGGAGGCUGACGGCGAUGCCGGCUGCUGCCACAAUGAGACACCCUCCUUAAUGAGCAGAUGGAGAAACAAAGACAGAAAGUAGAUGCCCCUGUUGAGGGGCCAGGAGAGGCCCGGAAGUACUUCCUGUUGGCACGUACCGUCGCCCAUUUCACGGGCAUAGGAAGUAACACAUACUGGCAUGUACCAUUCUGUGUAAUAAAAUGAAUAAAACCUCUCAUCCCUCCACCUUUAGGCUAAGUGGAAUCUUCUCUGGCCUGGAUGUUCAAGGGAGCCCUGUGUUACGGUGAAAGACUAAUGGCAUGAAGGACCCGCAGUCGUUUUUAUUCCCCAGUUUUACUUGAGAAGACCAGGGGAAGUGUAAACAUGAUGCCAUGCCACAUCCCCAACAGGUGCCACACCCCUGGGACGCCAUGCCACAUCCCAGGUCCUGUGCCACCUUGCAAACAGGUGCCACACCCCUGGAACACCAUGCCACAUCCCAGGUCCUGUGCCACCUUGCAAACAGGUGCCACACCUCUGGAACACCAUGCCACAUCCCAGGUCCUGUGCCACCUUGCCACCAGGUGCCACAGCCCUGGGUAUAUAAGUCCAAAUUUGAAAGUACCAGGCCACGUGUCCAAGCACUUACUCUCUUCUUCUCCAUGGCGACUCCCGACACGUGGCGUGCCCCAAAGUUGGGUUGGCGGUUGAGGGUGAAGUACGCCUCGCGGUGACUCCUACAGAGCAACAUUAGCCUGGAAAUACUAAUGCAUCUUAAUGGAUAUUCAAGAAGUGGAAGUAUAUUAAACAAAUCACAGAAACACCCCAACUGUGGUUUGCGGUGAAAUGCCCCACCUCCCUCCGUGUAAUCCCUCUCCCUGAGUCAAGGGGGCUUUUAUUACUUUUCAUCCGGCCUCUCACACGCUCUUCACCAUCAGCAUAAAAUGCAAUCACUUGAUGUAGGGUCCAAGAGAAGCUUUGUCCUCGCCAACAUUAAUGCAAACAGCAGUAAGAGCCCACGGCUCUCGGCCCUGCCGGGCGAACAGGAGGAAAGGCUCGUCAGCAGGAUUCAAGUGUGAGAGAUCUGUCCGCCGGAGGAGAAACCAUAUCUGCCAUGUCAUAAUUCACGUCUCCUGCCGCUUCCUUAAAAAACGCGACCAUUCCCUGUCUUCCAUUGCUGCGGCAGUGCGGCUGAGUUCAGGCAAGUGGAAAACGUGGUAUAAAGGAGAGAAAUUCUGCCCGAAAGCGUAUCCCAAGGAAACCGCAUGACGCGCACCUCUCUUCCGAAACACACAGGGCCCCUCAAUAUUUUAUCCACCCCAUUUUUGGUCGUACUUUUCCCUCAGCUCUGAUUUUUUGGUUUUCAAAGUGAUAUUAAAGGUUUAAAACUGUAUGUAUCCCCCGAUACAUUAUUAUUGUACAGCUCUAGUUAACUAUAAAUCAAAGCGCUGGACCGAUAUUUGCAUUAAAAAAUCCCUUACUGGUUUCCAGUCACAGCCGUGACCUAUGCACCAGGGAACACGCUAAUGCAAAUUCCUUGCUCAAAUGGAACAUGCUUUAACAGGUGUACGCGUCCUACGCAAGAAGACAAUGGGAACUACCUCAGAAAUCCAAGCAACAUGGCGUUACCGGUCUCUCUGUGCAAGAAGACAUUUAAAUGACACUAAAAUGUAUCACGCCACUAUAUGUUAGCGCCAGGCUACGCGCUCCCUUAGGUUUCUCAGGCAGAUGAGUAGAAUUAGAGAAUGAUGAAAGCAUUUGCAAUCAAUCAAACAAUUAUUCCACAGCGAGUAUAUACUGGUCUUUGUCACAGACAUUUUUUUAAUAAUACAUACACGAACCGUAUUAAAGGAAAUAGCGCUUGGUGAUGAAGCCAAGUGGUAAAAAGCUGUAGUUUACAUAUAAAACCGAGCGAAUUCCGGACAUUUGAGAUAUUUCAUGAUUUUAACAAAAGGCAGCUUAAGAGCGAGUGCCGGUUUAUCACUGGACGAGCAUCGGAUGUGCAUGCACACAUAAGAAGGAAUUAUGCAUGUAAUGCAAUCAGCCCACGGCCUCUGUCGCAUUACAAGCAGCAUUUUCCCGGCCUCCAUUAAGAUGUAAUCUGCUCAGCUGGUGGAAACGCCACGGCCAGAACGCCUGGCGCGAUUGCAGGGAAACGGCGUCUGCUUCAGUGAGCCGGACAGGCCGACCUCGGUCCGGAGUGUCGCAUCAACGAUUGCCUCUAAAGCCCUGAAAGAUUCUGUGGUGUCAUGGUGUUAUGCAUUUGUGCAAAAUUACCCUCAACAACAGUGCUUUCGUAUGUAAACAAUUGACAGUAUGUAAUUAUUUAUGUACUCUGAUUGUCCUCUCACCUGAUCUUAUAAACAUUCAGUUUGGCCCUUUGUGGGUAUACAUGCAUGCAAUGUGCUACCUGUGCUCCAGAGAGUAUGGACUAUUUAAGAAAGAGCAGGUGAGCGCUUCUGCAUUCAGACACAGAGCGUGGCGAGCUGUUUAGCACCAGUGCCUAGAUCGCCUGGCCGCAAUCACGGCCCGUUACUCUCCAACACUAGAAAAUUAGAUUAUGUCAGGGCUGAAUUUAUCCUCUAACACAAAGUGAAAUCUCUCAGUAGCCUGCAGUUUGUUUUCUUCUUCUCCUGCCAGGGAACGUAACAUACUUGGGGUAUAAUUGUUCGGUUUUUAAGAGCGAUCACACGUUCGACUCUUCAUGUCAGGAGCACAUGGCUGUGGGACAGCAUGCAGGCACCACGAGGGUCAACCCCGACAGCUUCCUCUUCAUGGCGACGACGAUGAGUACAGUAAAAUUAAAUAUAGCAGAAAGAAUACAAGGCCACAAAGGGCAAUAAACUAUACGACAAAGAAUAAAUAUAAGACUGAUUAAAUAUAACUCACAUAACCACUUGUGCUGUUUUAAAUUAUAAACAGAACAAGAUUUGAUGCAUGUUCCAACAUAUUCUUCCCCAAACAGGCAUGCAUCUGCCUUACAAAUACCACUGGAAUUUUACAAAAUGUACAAAUAUGGAUUAUUAUGUAUUUGCUGAAACUGAUUCAAUUUUAUUUGCAAAUGUAUUGCACAUGUACGCUCAAAAA